rnacentral:tRNA from 1 species
UCCUGAUAGCUUAUUUAGAGCGUGAUAUUGAAGAUGUCGAGGAGGCGAUUUGUCUUGGGGUA